AAAGAACUUAGAAGCAUUAUAGACGUGGACCAAAACCUGUUGAGCCACUCUGGUAUAGUCACGCAAUGCUCAUUUACAUUAUCUCAUCUGUGAUUAGGUUAUGAUACAUGAAUGUUUCCACAAACCUGGCUGUCCAGGUAAAAACACUGAACCAACAACAAGGUGCUGUUCUUAUCAGAAAGAGCCUUGUUUUGGAUAUGUCUGUGUGGAUAUGAAUUUUCCAGUCAUGGAUAUGACAUAAUUCAGUAGAAAAGCUGUCGAUAAAGGUCACUGCAAUGAUGUCUCAGUAUGACAAAGAGUUAUGUGC
ensembl:lncRNA